ACUAAGCGUACACGGUGGAUGCCCUGGCAGUCAGAGGCGAUGAAGGGCGUGCUAAUCUGCGAUAAGCGCCGGUAAGGUGAUAUGAACCGUUAUAACCGGCGAUACCCGAAUGGGGAAACCCAGUGUGACUCGUCACACUAUCAUUAACUGAAUCCAUAGGUUAAUGAGGCGAACCGGGGGAACUGAAACAUCUAAGUACCCCGAGGAAAAGAAAUCAACCGAGAUUCCCCCAGUAGCGGCGAGCGAACGGGGAGGAGCCCAGAGCCUGAAUCAGUAUGUGUGUUAGUGGAAGCGUCUGGAAAGGCGCGCGAUACAGGGUGACAGCCCCGUACACAAAAGCGCAUGUGCUGUGAGCUCGAUGAGUAGGGCGGGACACGUGGUAUCCUGUCUGAAUAUGGGGGGACCAUCCUCCAAGGCUAAAUACUCCUGACUGACCGAUAGUGAACCAGUACCGUGAGGGAAAGGCGAAAAGAACCCCGGCGAGGGGAGUGAAAAAGAACCUGAAACCGUGUACGUACAAGCAGUGGGAGCACAGGUUUACCUGUGUGACUGCGUACCUUUUGUAUAAUGGGUCAGCGACUUAUAUUCUGUAGCAAGGUUAACCGAAUAGGGGAGCCGGAGGGAAACCGAGUCUUAACCGGGCGUUAAGUUGCAGGGUAUAGACCCGAAACCCGGUGAUCUAGCCAUGGGCAGGUUGAAGGUUGGGUAACACUAACUGGAGGACCGAACCGACUAAUGUUGAAAAAUUAGCGGAUGACCUGUGGCUGGGGGUGAAAGGCCAAUCAAACCGGGAGAUAGCUGGUUCUCCCCGAAAGCUAUUUAGGUAGCGCCUCGUGAAUUCAUCUCCGGGGGUAGAGCACUGUUUCGGCUAGGGGGCCAUCCCGGCUUACCAACCCGAUGCAAACUGCGAAUACCGGAGAAUGUUAUCACGGGAGACACACGGCGGGUGCUAACGUCCGUCGUGAAGAGGGAAACAACCCAGACCGCCAGCUAAGGUCCCAAAGUCAUGGUUAAGUGGGAAACGAUGUGGGAAGGCCCAGACAGCCAGGAUGUUGGCUUAGAAGCAGCCAUCAUUUAAAGAAAGCGUAAUAGCUCACUGGUCGAGUCGGCCUGCGCGGAAGAUGUAACGGGGCUAAACCAUGCACCGAAGCUGCGGCAGCGAACGUAUCACCCAAGACAACUUUACGGAGUUGACGAUUGACGGAGCGAAGCGACGUCAAAGCGUUCAUUAAAGUCGAGUUGGCUUAGGGAUACGUUCGUUGGGUAGGGGAGCGUUCUGUAAGCCUGUGAAGGUGUGUCGUGAGGCAUGCUGGAGGUAUCAGAAGUGCGAAUGCUGACAUAAGUAACGAUAAAGCGGGUGAAAAGCCCGCUCGCCGGAAGACCAAGGGUUCCUGUCCAACGUUAAUCGGGGCAGGGUGAGUCGACCCCUAAGGCGAGGCCGAAAGGCGUAGUCGAUGGGAAACGGGUUAAUAUUCCCGUACUUGGUGUUACUGCGAAGGGGGGACGGAGAAGGCUAUGUUGGCCGGGCGACGGUUGUCCCGGUUUAAGCGUGUAGGUGUGUGUUCCAGGUAAAUCCGGUUCACUUUAACACUGAGGCGUGACGACGAGGCACUACGGUGCUGAAGCAACAAAUGCCCUGCUUCCAGGAAAAGCCUCUAAGCAUCAGGUAACAUCAAAUCGUACCCCAAACCGACACAGGUGGUCAGGUAGAGAAUACCAAGGCGCUUGAGAGAACUCGGGUGAAGGAACUAGGCAAAAUGGUGCCGUAACUUCGGGAGAAGGCACGCUGACACGUAGGUGAAGUGAUUUACUCAUGGAGCUGAAGUCAGUCGAAGAUACCAGCUGGCUGCAACUGUUUAUUAAAAACACAGCACUGUGCAAACACGAAAGUGGACGUAUACGGUGUGACGCCUGCCCGGUGCCGGAAGGUUAAUUGAUGGGGUCAGCGCAAGCGAAGCUCCUGAUCGAAGCCCCGGUAAACGGCGGCCGUAACUAUAACGGUCCUAAGGUAGCGAAAUUCCUUGUCGGGUAAGUUCCGACCUGCACGAAUGGCGUAAUGAUGGCCAGGCUGUCUCCACCCGAGACUCAGUGAAAUUGAACUCGCUGUGAAGAUGCAGUGUACCCGCGGCAAGACGGAAAGACCCCGUGAACCUUUACUAUAGCUUGACACUGAACAUUGAGCCUUGAUGUGUAGGAUAGGUGGGAGGCUUUGAAGUGUGGACGCCAGUCUGCAUGGAGCCGACCUUGAAAUACCACCCUUUAAUGUUUGAUGUUCUAACGUGGACCCGUAAUCCGGGUUGCGGACAGUGUCUGGUGGGUAGUUUGACUGGGGCGGUCUCCUCCUAAAGAGUAACGGAGGAGCACGAAGGUUGGCUAAUCCUGGUCGGACAUCAGGAGGUUAGUGCAAUGGCAUAAGCCAGCUUGACUGCGAGCGUGACGGCGCGAGCAGGUGCGAAAGCAGGUCAUAGUGAUCCGGUGGUUCUGAAUGGAAGGGCCAUCGCUCAACGGAUAAAAGGUACUCCGGGGAUAACAGGCUGAUACCGCCCAAGAGUUCAUAUCGACGGCGGUGUUUGGCACCUCGAUGUCGGCUCAUCACAUCCUGGGGCUGAAGUAGGUCCCAAGGGUAUGGCUGUUCGCCAUUUAAAGUGGUACGCGAGCUGGGUUUAGAACGUCGUGAGACAGUUCGGUCCCUAUCUGCCGUGGGCGCUGGAGAACUGAGGGGGGCUGCUCCUAGUACGAGAGGACCGGAGUGGACGCAUCACUGGUGUUCGGGUUGUCAUGCCAAUGGCACUGCCCGGUAGCUAAAUGCGGAAGAGAUAAGUGCUGAAAGCAUCUAAGCACGAAACUUGCCCCGAGAUGAGUUCUCCCUGAGACUUUAGGUCUCCUGAAGGAACGUUGAAGACGACGACGUUGAUAGGCCGGGUGUGUAAGCGCAGCGAUGCGUUGAGCUAACCGGUACUAAUGAACCGUGAGGCUUAACC
rnacentral:rRNA from 1 species